rnacentral:tRNA from 2 species
GGUGGGUUACUCAAGAGGCCGAAGAGGCGGGUUUGCUAAACCUGUAGGGUGCCGCAAGGUGCCGCAGGGGUUCGAAUCCCCUACCCACCGCCA